CUUUUCCUAGCCAAGGGAAGCCGUUACAGAUGGUACCUGGAAAAUUGGGACACUCCCACCCUAAUACUGUGCUUUUCCAAUGGUCUUAGCAAACAGCACACCAGGAGAUUAUAUCCCACGCAUGACUUGGAGGGUCCCAUGCCCAUGGAGCCUUGCUCACUGCUAGCACAGCAGUCCAAGAUUGAAUUGCAAGGUGGCAGUGAGUCUGGGGGAGGGGCAUCCACCAUUGCUGAGGCUUGACUAGGUAAACAAAGUGGCGGGAAGCUCGAACUAGGUGGAGCCCACCGCAGCCCACCUCUGUAGACUCGAACUGAGUGGAGCCCACCACUGCCCGCCUCUGUAGACUCCAUCUCUGGGGGCAGGGCAUAGCGGAACAAAAGGCAGCAGAAGCUUCUGCAGACUUAAACAUCCUUUUCUGACAGCUUUGAGGAGAGUAGUGGUUCUCCAAGCAUGGACUUUGAGAUCUGAGAAUGGACAGACUGCCUCCUCAAGUGGGUCCCUGACCCCCGAGAAGCCUAACUGGGAGACACCUCCCAGUGGGGGCCGACUGACACCUCAUACAGCCGGAUCCCCCUCUGAGAUGAAGCUUCCAGAGGAAGGAUCAGGGAGUACAUUUCCUGUUCUGCAAUAAGUUUUGCAGGAAAAGAAGAAAGCUGAAAACACACUGAGGAUUAUGGGAGAGGGGCAAGUGCAUGAAGCUUCUCAAUGACAUACAGACACUCUAAAAGCUCAAGAGAUCAAUUAUUCAACUUCAAGAACUGAAAUUUGAACACAGAUUUUGAGCUUCCAAAUCAGACUGCUGUUAAACUGGCUCACUCCAUAUACUCUGUGCUACAGCAAUUUAAUAUUUCAUUAAAAAGCAUUAAUGAUGGCUCCAGUGAAUUUCUCCUAUUCAAGCUCCAUAAUGACAGCAGUUCAAGCGAGUGUUGAUCUCUGAGUGAUGCAACACAAAAACAUCGCCUAACAAAGGAACACUUGGAGUACUACUCAUAUUCUCUGCAACUUGAGGAGAAAAAGAAGUGUUCUAUAAGAAGUUUGGACAAGACUCUGCAAGAAGUUAAGAGGUCCUUAAAGGCAACUGUGAAUUAACGGAGACUAGUUUUGAGAAAAUCAGUCCUGAUUUGUUUCUCCUGGAGUUUUCUUCUUUAUGUGAUCCUUCAUAAAAGCUGCUAAUAUGGGAAAGAUUGAAAUCAGCAAGUUUCUGGCUGUAAGCUAAAAGAGGCUCUUGAAUCAUAUUUCCGCCUGCUUAGCAAAUUUCUCUUGCGACAAUUGGAUGUUAUUUGGGGUUCCAUACUAGCAGGAAGAAGUACAAGCAAAGCUAAGUCAUUUUGAGAAUAAAUAUUAUCUCUCUAUAUAUUUGUAAAUGUUAUUUUCUUUUUUUUUGAGGUUUAUGAUUGAUCCUUGGCAUGUGUCCCCUUGUGUAUUGCUCUACUAAAAAUAGCCUAAAAAAGAAUUUUCCCCUCGAUGUGGAGCUUCUCUUUAGUUACAAUUCUACUUUCUCCUUCACUUGAGUAUCAGUCUUCAGAGAACUACCAUAACAAAGGAGUGGAUACAGAUAUACGCAAAAAAGUCUAUGAGAAAAUUAGUACAUUAAAUUUGUGAAAGCUCAUUUAAAGUAAUUUUCUACUAACAAUUUUAAUCAAAUGUAUUAAUCAUAUUUCUAUGCUUAGUGAUGUUAAAUAAAAAUUUAAAAGGUGGCAAUCAAUAAACAGAGAUAAAAGCUUCUCAAGAAUAAAUGAAAGGAAGUAAUAAAAAGACUCACUAAGCUGAAUUGCCUCCUAUCAACAGCAGCUGAUAAAAUAUUAAAAGAUUUGCCUUGUGUAAUGUCUCUGGAGAGCUGUCUUACUGAUGUACGAGGCCAUGAUUGACAACUUUGAGACUUUGCUGGAAGCGACAAAAGUAUAUCUAUAAUAUUAUGCUGAAUUGCAUAGGUCUUUCUUCUUAAAUGAGGCUAGAAAUAACAUACCACCAAGUGUUUGGCUUUUAGGAAAUUGAGCAUUUUCUUUAGUUCUAGCUGCAGUUUAAUUUCCUCAGAAUUAGACAUUAUGCGGUAUCUGGAACGUUAAAAAAAAAAAAAAGCAAAAACAGAGUAUUGUACCUAAUGAUAUGUCAAAUAAUUUUGGAGGAAUUAAGAAAUCACUGGAAGAAAUUACAUGGGUGGGUAAUGGUUUUUAUGUCACAAUAAAUAAUUAGUAAUAUUUACUGACACAUUUCAUGUGCCUGGUACUGAGCUAAAUGAUUUAUGUGCAUUGUUUGUAUUAAGCCCCCAAAAUUCUGUGGUAUAUGUAAUGAUAUUUCCAUUUUUCUUGAGAUAAGGAACUGAAACUCAGAAAAGUUAAGGAACUUGUCCAAGAUUAUAGUAAGUGGCUUAGUUCAAUUUUGAAUCUAGAUCAAUCUGACUCCAACCAGCAUGAUGAACUGAAACUGACUAUGAGGCUGGUGACACUCUAGGCAUUUAUUCACAAGAGGUAUUGUGAUGACAUGUGAGAGAAUGUUGGAUGAAGGAAGCACAUACUAGAAAGAUAGGAAAGACCAGAAAACACAGGGAAGUGCUAUUUAUUUGCUUUCCUAGUUCCAGUAACUUGGUCUAAUGGGGAGGAUGAAAGUAGACAGAUACCUGAAAACACUUUGAGAUUUAUGUAUAAGCAGCAUGACUUCAGUGACCAAGCCACACAGAAUCUGGGAGUGGAACAUUUUCUUUGGUCAUUAUGCCACUGCGGCAUGGUUUGUUAGUGCAGUGAGAACUAAAGUAUAGUGUGGUAACCUGAAACUGUUAUGGUUAUGGGUACACCUGGGUGGGUAGCUGUUCACCCCUUCACAGAGGGUAGGAGUGGUGAUAGCAAAGUAGCUCUUCGCAGUAACUUUCAGAACAUAGACAUUAUGUAAGAUCUGAAGUUUGAAAACCUGAAACAAAAGCAGAGCAUUAUAUCCAAGCACAUUGGAGACAACUGUGGAGGAAUCAAGGAACAUCUAGCAGAGAUUUAAUGUUUUAGGGACUGUUUUUUAUUUCAGAAGGUAAUAAGUGUAAAACAGUCAAACUCUAGGCAUAGGGAUGAACAUUAUUUUGUGUCAUAAAUUUGUCUAAUAUAGUUGCUGCUUCAGCAUCCAGUUUUGGCUUGUCAUGGUCAAGGUGACCAGUCAUGCCCUGUCACCUUUGGUUUUAUUAAAAUUUUCCCUCCUUUAGUGGUUAUUUGUGAUAUAGCCCUGUUGUUCCCCAUCUCACUGACCCCAAAUUCAACACAUGCCACAGCUGCUGGCCACAGUGAAAACUAAUGAUCAACACCAGUCAUGUGAAUAAGACGUCCCUUCAUGUGUUUUCUUUAAGCUAGCCUAUCCACAGCCCCAUGGGAAAGCCUAAAGAAUAGUACCUGUGGAUUAUAAUAAAGACGUCUUACUGGUUCUUGCUCUCUAUCCCUCUCUCUACACACUGGUCAAGUACACUCUUGUCUCCAGACUUCCCAUUGGCCUCCUGUCAACACCUGUACCCACUCUGGACCUGGGAAUAAUAAACUUCUUUUUUUUUUUAAUGUAUUUUGGUUUCACUUCCUCAUUGUAUCUCACCUGACACACACAUACUAUAGUGUUCUCAAUAUUAUUUAAUGUGUUUAACAAAUCAUAACAGAUAAUAUAUGAUUGACACUGUGCCUCCUGAUUUGAUGCAAUAUGGACUAUUCCACAUCACUGAUGAAGUAGUCAUACAAAAAAUAUUUAUCUUGAAUCAAAGCAAGAUUUUAUACCAAAAUUCUAGUUCAAGUUACCUGAUAGAGGAACAUAUUAAACAAUACUAUGUGUAAACAAUACUAUGUGUAAACAAUCAGAAAAAUAAUAGAUUGUAGCCUUCAAAAAACGAUGGCCUUACAAAACAAAUAAACAAAAAGUUUGUGUGGGUGUGUACAUGCAAGGGCUAAUCUCAAAUGCAGAAAGACCAGAAUACAAUAACAAAUAUAAUUCUUGAAAGUGGAUUUCAUCUUGGUUUACCAAAAAUAGCUAUGAGGGAAAUUUGGGUAAGAAUUAGAGAAUUCUGAAUAUAGAAUGAAUUAAAACAUAUUAUGAAUUAAGUUAAUAUUUUUGAUGUUUUCUUUUGAUAUGUUCUUUUAGAAUAUGUAAUAUCCCUAUUUAUUGGAGAUGUGUGCUAAAUUAUUUACAAAUAUUUGGGUAUCUGAAAUUUACUUUCAAAUGCACCAAAAAUAAUAGCUAUACAAAAAGAAAUACAUUAAAUUUACUCUAUAGUAGUAGUUAUUCUUUCUGAGAGGUUUACACAGUAUUUUCCUGUUCUUUUGUAUGUAUGUAUUUUUAAAAGAACGUAGGCCUGGCGCAGUGGCUCACGCCUAUAAUCCCAGCACUUUGGGAGGCCGAGGUGGGCGGAUCACGUGGUCAGGAGAUCGAGACCAUCCUGGCUAACACGGUAAAACCCCGUCUCUACUAAAAACACAAAAACAAAAUUAGCCAGGCGUGGUGGCGGGCGCCUGUAGUCCCAGCUAAUCAGGAGGCUGAGGCAGGAGAAUGGCGUGAACCCGGGAGGCGAAGCUUGCAGUGAGCCGAGAUCAUGCCACUGCACUCCAGCCUGGGCGACAGAGCGAGACUCCGUCUCAAAAAAAACAAAAACGAAAACAAAAACAACAUAAAUAAAUUGAUAAUAUAUCUAUUUUGAUACAGUCAUGGUUAACAUAAAUAAUCCUGGUUAUAUCCAUAUAAAACCAUGAAUAUACAGUAAUAAAUAUUAUAAUUACAAGUAAAUCACCAUAAAUAAAUUCUGUUUUCAAUGUUUCUACU
rnacentral:lncRNA from 1 species